rnacentral:rRNA from 1 species
AUACGAAGGGGGCUAGCGUUGCUCGGAAUCACUGGGCGUAAAGGGCGCGUAGGCGGCGUUUUAAGUCGGGGGUGAAAGCCUGUGGCUCAACCACAGAAUGGCCUUCGAUACUGGGACGCUUGAGUAUGGUAGAGGUUGGUGGAACUGCGAGUGUAGAGGUGAAAUUCGUAGAUAUUCGCAAGAACACCGGUGGCGAAGGCGGCCAACUGGACCAUUACUGACGCUGAGGCGCGAAAGCGUGGGGAGC